UGUAUUCAACCGACACCUUAUGCUUUUUCUAGUCGUACAAUAAUCAGUUUUAGCAAUUUUAACGUUUGCGUGUGUCGAUGUCCCAUGUACUUUGCGUU